CCUACGGGUGGCAGCAGUGAGGAAUAUUGGUCAAUGGGCGAGAGCCUGAACCAGCCAAGUCGCGUGAAGGAUGACGGCCCUACGGGUUGUAAACUUCUUUUGUCAGGGAGCAAUUGGGUCCACGCGUGGGCUUAGCGAGAGUACCUGAAGAAAAAGCAUCGGCUAACUCCGUGCCAGCAGCCGCGGUAAUACGGAGGAUGCGAGCGUUAUCCGGAUUUAUUGGGUUUAAAGGGUGCGUAGGCGGAAUAACAAGGCAGCGGUAAAAAUUCGGGGCUCAACCCCGACGUGCCGUUGAAACUGGUGUUCGUGAGUGGGCGAGAAGUAUGCGGAAUGCGUGGUGUAGCGGUGAAAUGC
rnacentral:rRNA from 1 species